GUAGCGCCUGUAGCUCAGUGGAUAGAGCGUCUGUUUCCUAAGCAGAAAGUCGAAGGUUCGACCCCUUCCUGGCGCGG
rnacentral:tRNA from 1 species